AGAUUGAACGCUGGCGGCAUGCCUUACACAUGCAAGUCGAACGGUAGAGUAGCAAUACUUGAGAGUGGCGAACGGGUGAGUAAUAUAUCGGAACGUGCCCAGUCGUGGGGGAUAACGUAGAGAAAUUUACGCUAAUACCGCAUACGAUCUAAGGAUGAAAGCGGGGGACUCGCAAGAGCCUCGCGCGAUUGGAGCGGCUGAUAUCAGAUUAGGUUGUUGGUGAGGUAAAAGCUCACCAAGCCGACGAUCUGUAGCUGGUUUGAGAGAACGACCAGCCACACUGGGACUGAGACACGGCCCAGACUCCUACGGGAGGCAGCAGUGGGGAAUUUUGGACAAUGGGCGCAAGCCUGAUCCAGCCAUUCCGCGUGCAGGAUGAAGGCCCUCGGGUUGUAAACUGCUUUUGUACGGAACGAAAAGCGCUGAGUUAAUACCUCGGCGUCAUGACGGUACCGUAAGAAUAAGCAACCGGCUAACUACGUGCCAGCAGCCG
rnacentral:rRNA from 1 species